GCAUAUCAAUAAGCGGAGGAAAAGAAACCAACAGGGAUUCCCCUAGUAACGGCGAGUGAAGCGGGAACAGCUCAAAUUUGAAAUCUGGCCCUCGGGUCCGAAUUGUAAUUUGCAGAGGAUGCUUUUGGUUAGGUACUUUCCGAGUUCCCUGGAACGGGACGCCUUAGAGGGUGAGAGCCCCGUACGGUUGGAUACCGAGCCUUUGUAAAGCUCCUUCGACGAGUCGAGUAGUUUGGGAAUGCUGCUCUAAAUGGGAGGUAAAUUUCUUCUAAAGCUAAAUACCGGCCAGAGACCGAUAGCGCACAAGUAGAGUGAUCGAAAGAUGAAAAGCACUUUGAAAAGAGGGUUAAAUAGCACGUGAAAUUGUUGAAAGGGAAGCGUUUAUGACCAGACUUUUUCCAGGCGGAUCAUCCGGUGUUCUCACCGGUGCACUUCGUCUGGUUGAGGCCAGCAUCGGUUUUCGUAGAGGGAUAAAAGCAGUAGGAAUGUGGUUCCUCCGGGAAUGUUAUAGCCUGCUGUAUAAUACCUCUAUGGGGACCGAGGUUCGCGCAUCUGCAAGG
rnacentral:rRNA from 1 species